CUUUGCUCUUGCUUUUUAGGGAUUUAGGAGAUUAAUAUGGCUUAAUAUGGAUUGGAUCUACUUCGACUUAGUGUUGAUUGUCAGAAUUUCAUUUUAUAUUUUUGCUAAUUAAAACUGAUAGCUAAUUAGUUGUCAUUAUGAAAAUACAAAUGCUUAGAGACUCUACUAAUUACCAAAACAUCGACUUAUUCGUAUUACAAAUCUUUAGAUUAAUAACUCAACUGACAUGUGCCAGACGCCGCAGAUUUGCUGGCUCUUGUUUUGGUAUUUGAAAUUUGGAUAUUGGAUUACACAUUCUCCGACUCCUCCGCUACCGGAUCUCAAGUGGCGACCACACAUUACCGAAAACCCGAGUCCGAGCAUCAAGUGUGGACCGCAGCGACAAUGUCUGGGAGUCGAAGCCAUGUCAAAAUAUUUGUCAGCGCCUCGUUUUACGCCGUACAAUUGAGCGACGGACUGCCGCUGCGUCAGGAUGUCGCCAGUAAUUAACCCAAAUUUAAAUAUAUGCGAUCUCCCCCUGCGAGCCACUUGAAAGGCUAUGCAUUGGUAGUUAGACAUAUAUGUAUAUAUGUGUUAGUAUAUAUUCUUUUGUAUGCCUAGCUGGAGUUCAUGAGAUGACUGCCAAUUAUUCCUGGAGCAGCAUGCUCCGACACAUCCGAUCAAGCAUGCCACAUGCCACACAGGUGCGCUGUCCCGCAAGGCCAACAGAAAAGAGUCGAAAGGAAAAACAGCGCAAUAAAAAACGCUGAAAUGUGGAAUGAGCUUGAAUAUAAUAAAAUGUACAAAAGCCAAGAACAAAGCAAAAAAAUUAUGUGAGCGACAACAACAACAAGAGCAAUAAGAAGCCCAAGAACAAUUACCAAGAGGCAAUGACGACAAUACGCGUCAGUUGAAAUGAAACAGAUGCCAAAAGUUCGAAGAUCGAAGAUCGAAGAGCGGCUGCACGCAGCAGCCGUCGCAGUCGCAGCCAACAGCUUGCCACAUGCCGCAUACUUAUGUGAGUUCAACACUUAUCACACAAUCAGCGAAAUUCCGCCUGGGCUGCUGGAUUUGCUGGCAUUGCAAUAUUUGUAAUUUAUAUAGCUGGAUAGCUGAGGAACGAUUAAAUCGCAUUAAUUUCA